rnacentral:rRNA from 1 species
GGGGGCCCGCAAGCGGUGGAGCAUGUGGUUCAAUUCGACGCAACGCGAAGAACCUUACCUGGGCUCGAAGCGCAGUGGACCGGGGUGGAAACAUCCCUUUCUCGCAAGAGACUGCUGCGGAGGUGCUGCAUGGCUGUCGUCAGCUCGUGUCGUGAGAUGUUGGGUUAAGUCCCGCAACGAGCGCAACCCUUAUCGUCAGUCGCCACCGGGUAAUGCCGAGCUACUCUGGCGAAACCGCUCAGGAUAACUGGGAGGAAGGUGGGGAUGACGUCAAGUCCUCAUGGCCUUUAUGUCCAGGGCUACACACGUGCUACAAUGGUCGGUACAAACCGUCGCAAACCCGCGAGGGGAAGCUAAUCGGAAAAAGCCGGCCUCAGUUCGGAUUGGAGUCUGCAACCCGACUCCAUGAAGCUGGAAUCGCUAGUAAUCGCGGAUCAGAACGCCGCGGUGAAUACGUUCCCGGGCCUUGUACACACC